CCUACGGGAGGCAGCAGUGGGGAAUAUUGGACAAUGGGGGCAACCCUGAUCCAGCCAUGCCGCGUGUGUGAAGAAGGCCCUCGGGUUGUAAAGCACUUUCAGUGAGGAAGAACGCCUGGUGGUUAAUACCCAUCAGGAAAGACAUCACUCACAGAAGAAGCACCGGCUAACUCCGUGCCAGCAGCCGCGGUAAUACGGAGGGUGCGAGCGUUAAUCGGAAUUACUGGGCGUAAAGCGCGCGUAGGUGGCUUGAUAAGCCGGUUGUGAAAGCCCCGGGCUCAACCUGGGAACGGCAUCCGGAACUGUCAAGCUAGAGUGCAGGAGAGGAAGGUAGAAUUCCCGGUGUAGCGGUGAAAUGCGUAGAGAUCGGGAGGAAUACCAGUGGCGAAGGCGGCCUUCUGGACUGACACUGACACUGAGGUGCGAAAGCGUGGGUAGCAAACAGGAUUAGAUACCCCAUAGUC
rnacentral:rRNA from 1 species